GACGAACGCUGGCGGCGUGCUUAACACAUGCAAGUCGAGGGGGAGUAGGGGCGAACUCUACUUCACCGGCGAACGGGUGCGUAACACGUGAGCGACCUACCCUGGUGUGGGGGAUAGCCGGCCCAACGGCCGGGUAAUACCGCAUACGCUCUGUGAGGGGCAUCCCUUGGAGAGCAAAGCUGUGGGGCAACUCACGGCGCAUUGGGGAGGGGCUCGCGGCCUAUCAGCUAGUUGGCGAGGUAACGGCUCACCAAGGCGACGACGGGUAGCUGGUCUGAGAGGAUGGCCAGCCACAUUGGGACUGAGAGACGGCCCAGACUCCUACGGGAGGCAGCAGUGGGGAAUCUUGCGCAAUGGGCGAAAGCCUGACGCAGCGACGCCGCGUGCGGGAGGACGG
rnacentral:rRNA from 1 species